rnacentral:rRNA from 1 species
GAGUUUGAUCCUGGCUCAGAUUGAACGCUGGCGGCAGGCCUAACACAUGCAAGUYGAGCGGUAACAUUUCUAGCUUGCUAGAAGAUGACGAGCGGCGGACGGGUGAGUAAUACUUGGGAACAUGCCUGAGGUGGGGGACAACCAUUGGAAACGAUGGCUAAUACCGCAUAAUGUCUACKGACCAAAGGGGGCUUCGGCUCUCGCCUUUAGAUUGGCCCAAGUGGGAUUAGCUAGUUGGUGAGGUAAAGGCUCACAAGGCGACGAUCCCUAGCUGGUUUGAGAGGAUGAUCAGCCACACUGGAACUGAGACACGGUCCAGACUCCUACGGGAGGCAGCAGUGGGGAAUAUUGCACAAUGGGCGCAAGCUGGAUGCAGCCAUGCGCGUGUGUGAAGAAGGCCUUCGGGUUGUAAAGCACUUUCAGUCAGGAGGAAAGGUUAGUAGUUAAUACCUGCUAGCUGUGACGUUACUGACAGAAGAAGCACCSGCUAACUCCGUGCCAGCAGCCGGGUAAUACGGAGGGUGCGAGCGUUAAUCGGAAUUACUGGGCGUAAAGCGUACGCAGGCGGUUUGUUAAGCGAGAUGUGAAAGCCCCGGGCUUAACCUGGGAMCUGCAUUUCGACCUGGCAAACUAGAUGUGAUAGAGGGUGGUAGAAUUUCAGGUGUAGCGGUGAAAUGCGUAGAGA